rnacentral:rRNA from 1 species
UACGUAGGGUCCGAGCGUUGUCCGGAAUUAUUGGGCGUAAAGGGCUCGUAGGCGGUCUGUUGCGUCGGGAGUGAAAAACUUACAGCUUAACUGUGAGCGUGCUUUCGAUACGGGCAGACUAGAGUGUGGUAGGGGAGAUCGGAAUUCCUGGUGUAGCGGUGAAAUGCGCAGAUAUCAGGAGGAACACCGGUGGCGAAGGCGGAUCUCUGGGCCAUUACUGACGCUGAGGAGCGAAAGCGUGGGGAGCGAACAGG